rnacentral:rRNA from 1 species
GAUGAACGCUGGCGGCGUGCCUAAUACAUGCAAGUCGAGCGAACAGACGAGGAGCUUGCUCCUCUGACGUUAGCGGCGGACGGGUGAGUAACACGUGGAUAACCUACCUAUAAGACUGGGAUAACUUCGGGAAACCGGAGCUAAUACCGGAUAAUAUAUUGAACCGCAUGGUUCAAUAGUGAAAGACGGUUUUGCUGUCACUUAUAGAUGGCUCCGCGCCGCAUUAGCUAGUUGGUAAGGUAACGGCUUACCAAGGCAACGAUGCGUAGCCGACCUGAGAGGGUCGUCGCCCACACUGGCUGUGAGACACGGUCCAGACUCCUACGGGAGGCAGCAGUAGGGAAUCUUCCGCAAUGGGCGAAAGCCUGACGGAGCAACGCCGCGUGAGUGAUGAAGGUCUUCGGAUCGUAAAACUCUGUUAUUAGGGAAGAACAAAUGUGUAAGUAACUAUGCACGUCUUGACGGUACCUAAUCAGAAAGCCACGGCUAACUACGUG